CCGGGAGACAGACAGAGAGAGACAGAGAGAUUUCAUUAAAAGUUUGUAACCUGACACCUAACAUGCAGCCUGGCAGACCCACACACACCCCAACGGGGACUACACAGAGGGCCAGAGGAAGAGCUGUCAUUCAAUGAAGAGAAAAAAAGAAUCAGCAUUUUCCUCCUUUUCUGGGUCCUAUUGUAACCCGAAACCCCCAUCAGUCUCCAAAUCGCCGUCUUCAAGCUGUGAGGGCCUCAGACAUUGUCUCUUCCACGCUGGAUCUCCAUGGCCUUCCAGGUUUCACGUUUUCUUUUCCAUGAUAGAUCAACCUUCUUGACGUUAAGCCCAAGUUUUGUCUUGAGGACAGAAUGGACCAUCGUCGUAAAUGUUCACGAUGGUGGAAAAACUGUUGCACUUGUUUCAUCAUAUCUAGCACCUUAAACCAAUCUCGCCACCUGAAGCUAAAGACAGGCACAAAGUAGGUGACCUCUGUGCAUGCUUUUGAAAAUACAUCAGAACUAACAGAUUUGGUGGCAUUUGCACUAUUGAAUUCAGGACAACCUAAAAUUGUUACUUUGGAGUCUGGACUAUAUGCCACUGAAGAGAUUCUUAUGGCUUUCAAAUCAUCUCGCCCACAGACUUCCUCUUCCAAUGCGUACCCAGGCAGGGAUGUUCCACUCAGGGCCUGUUCGAUCUGACAUAGAGCCAGUCUUAUCUUAGCCAUUCUCUCAUGCGAAACGCAGGAGAAAAUCUCCCGGUUUUUGGCUGAAAAAGGUGUUGAGGCAGCUGUGUGUGAAAAUCUUCACUGUUGACUCGUCCGGUUGGAAAAUGUAACCCAUAUGGCCUUCACUCAUAUCAAUCACACCAUUAAAACAAUCAGGUGCAUCACAAAGAAUGGCAUCGAUGGUUUUGUCAUUGUGGCCCAGACAUGAAGGACACAAUACACCUAGAAUUGGUCUAGGAGACAUGUUUUCUGUAGUUUUCUAUGGUUUAUCUGUGUUAGUCUUGUCACAGGACAAGUCUAACACUUACUUAUACACAGUCAUACCUACCCAGAAAUUACUUUUUCAUUCUACAAGGGGUCACAAGCUCACUACACAGCAGCUCUAUAAGUUCACUUCAAACACUUCAAACUCAGGCCUCCCCAUUCACUACAAGAAUUCCCAACUGUUUCAACUGUUCAAACACUUCAGACUCAGGCCUCCCCAUUCACUACAAGAAUUCCCAACUGUUUCAACUGUUCAAACACUUCAAACUCAGGCCAACCCAUUCACUACAAAAAUUCGCAAC